rnacentral:rRNA from 1 species
CAGGGAUUGCCUUAGUAACGGCGAGUGAAGCGGCAACAGCUCAAAUUUGAAAUCUGGCCCCUAGGGUCCGAGUUGUAAUUUGUAGAGGAUGUUUUUGGCACGGUGCCUUCCGAGUUCCCUGGAACGGGACGCCACAGAGGGUGAGAGCCCCGUAUGGUUGGACACUAAGCCUCUGUAAAGCUCCUUCAACGAGUCGAGUAGUUUGGGAAUGCUGCUCUAAAUGGGAGGUAAAUCUCUUCUAAAGCUAAAUACUGGCCAGAGACCGAUAGCGCACAAGUAGAGUGAUCGAAAGAUGAAAAGCACCUUGAAAAGGGGGUUAAACAGUACGUGAAAUUGUUGAAAGGGAAGCACUUGUCACCAGACGUGCGCCGGGCGGUUCAUCAGAGGCUUUGCCCCUGUGUAUGCCGUCCGGUUCAGGCUAGCAUCGGUUUUCGCUGGGGGAGAAGAACAGUUGGAACGUGGCUCGCCUUCGGGGGAGUGUUAUAGCCUUCUGUACGAUGCCCUGGCGGGGACUGAGG